rnacentral:rRNA from 1 species
UGGAUCUUAAAUUGACUGAGCGGCGGACGGGUGAGUAACGCGUGGAUAACCUGCCUCACACAGGGGGAUAACAGUUAGAAAUGACUGCUAAUACCGCAUAAGCGCACGGCAUCGCAUGAUGCAGUGUGAAAAACUCCGGUGGUGUGAGAUGGAUCCGCGUCUGAUUAGGUAGUUGGUGGGGUAACGGCCCACCAAGCCGACGAUCAGUAGCCGACCUGAGAGGGUGAACGGACACACUGGAACUGAGACACGGUCCAGACUCC